UGGGGAAUUUUGGACAAUGGGCGAAAGCCUGAUCCAGCAAUGCCGCGUGUGUGAAGAAGGCCUUCGGGUUGUAAAGCACUUUUGUCCGGAAAGAAAUCCUUGGCUCUAAUACAGUCGGGGGAUGACGGUACCGGAAGAAUAAGCACCGGCUAACUACGUGCCAGCAGCCGCGGUAAUACGUAGGGUGCAAGCGUUAAUCGGAAUUACUGGGCGUAAAGCGUGCGCAGGCGGUUUGCUAAGACCGAUGUGAAAUCCCCGGGCUCAACCUGGGAACUGCAUUGGUGACUGGCAGGCUAGAGUAUGGCAGAGGGGGGUAGAAUUCCACGUUAGCAGUGAAAUGCGUAGAGAUGUGGAGGAAUACCGAUGGCGAAGGCAGCCCCCUGGGCCAAUACUGACGCUCAUGCACGAAAGCGUGGGGAGCAAACAGGAUUAGAUACCCUGGUAGUCCACGCCCUAAACGAUGUCAACUAGUUGUUGGGGAUUCAUUUCCUUAGUAACGUAGCUAACGCGUGAAGUUGACCGCCUGGGGAGUACGGUCGCAAGAUUAAAACUCAAA
rnacentral:rRNA from 1 species